rnacentral:rRNA from 1 species
AAUGAUUACCCUGAACGGUGGA